rnacentral:lncRNA from 1 species
CCUAUUAUCUUAGGGGUAUACAUAAUAUAGCUUUCUACCAUAAUCUAGCGCUACACCCCAAUCUUAGCUUUAAUCUAGCACUGCAUCCUCUUAUCAUAAUCUACUAUUACAUUCCUUUAUCCAUAUACACUCGAGUGAUAGUGUAAUAGUACUAAAAGUUCUUAAAAAUGAAAGCAUUGGAACCUUGACCCAUAGUACUCUCUAUUUUCCCUUUAAACUCUAC